rnacentral:lncRNA from 1 species
UGCACAGAAUCACUUGAAUACUAGGAAUUGUGAUGACAUUGAAGUGGAAUCGCAGGCACAAUGGACAUGGUGAAAAGCACACAAGGCAAACCCUGCCCAGCUGAUUGUGCUUAGCCUAACAUGCAAAAGAGGCACUUCCCAAGCUUGCCAGUACCCCAGGAGGUAUUAAGGUGGUUCAGAUGUAUGUCAGUAGACAGUGCCGAUAAAUGCUCUUCCAGCCUGAUCCUGUUCGAUCUGAUGUACAAACAGAUGCAAAAGAUAUUCUUCCACGAAUCAUCUGGAAUAAGAACAGAAACAGAUAUGGGGAGAC